UACGUAGAAUCGUGAAUAGUAUAGAUGUUAUUCACAUACCACAUUGAUUCAACCUGUGUUAGAAAUACUUGGUUUAUAUGCCGAUCACACCCGUUAUUUCAAGCAUUGCUCGCCGGUCGUUCGGUGCGAACACGUCCCCAAGUUUCUCGCUAUCAAGUGCUUCCUGUAUUUUGUUCCUUGGGAUUUUUGCGAUUUCAUCGACAAUGGCGAACGAUAAUGCGAAAGCCGUCGUGGCAGGCAACAACCGUAUCACCGGUCAGCUCUACCAGCACAUCGCCGAAGAUAAUGAGAAUCUCAUCUUCUCUCCAUUGAGUGUUCACACAGUUCUGUCUUUAGUCUACCAAGGUGCUGCCGGUUCAACCGAAGCAGCUUUCAAAAAUGUUCUUGGAGUUCCCGACAAGCUUAAAACAGCCGAAGGAUAUCAAUCCGUUAUGGCACAAUUGAAUAAUGUUGCUAAUGUUACCCUUGAGAUCGCGAAUCAGGUCUAUGUGAAAAACGGUUAUCGCAUGAAGCCGCAAUUCAAAGAAGUUGCAACUAAACAAUUUGCGGCCGGCGCUGAAAAUAUUGAAUUCACCGCACCCACUGCAGCGAAAACAAUGAAUACCUGGGUUGAGCAGAGAACCAAGGAUAAAAUCAAGGACCUUAUUAAACAAGAGGAUCUUGAUGCCGACACCAGAAUGGUUCUCAUUAACGCGGUUUACUUCAAAGGAAACUGGGCGGAUCAAUUCAACAAAGAUUUAACACGUCCGGAUAAGUUCUUCAUCUCUGAGACAGAGACAGUUCCAUGCCAGAUGAUGUUCCGCAACGGUAAAUACCGCUACAAGGACGAUUCCGCUUUGGAUGCGCAAGUCAUUGAGUUGCCAUACAAAAAUCCUGCUUUGAGUAUGAUUGUAAUUUUGCCUAAGAGUAAGACUGGUAUUAAGGAACUUGAGAAGAAGCUUGCAAAGCUUGAUCUGGCUACGGUAACGAAAGAUAUGUACAGCGUUGAGGUGGAUUUGAGUCUUCCGAAAUUCAAAAUUGAGUCCACUAUUCAAUUGAACGAGCCUCUCCAGAAGUUGGGUUUGGGCGAAGCAUUCAGUGGCGCCGCGAAUUUCUCGGACCUUCUUGAAAGCUCCGAACCUCUUAAAAUCAGCAAAGUUGUCCAGAAAGCAUUCAUCGAAGUAAACGAAGAAGGAGCCGAGGCUGCAGCCGCUACCGCUGUAUUGGUAUCCUUUACAUCCUUAAUUGGUUUCAAACCGAAUAUGAUUUUCCGUGCCGAUCACGCCUUUAUUUCUUUGUUGGUCAUCGAUGAAAAGGUCCUAUUCAUGUCUAAGUUAGAAAAUACAAAAUAGAACAAUUUACGUUGACUGUUAUUAAAAAAAAGUGAUGUUUGAUUUCUUACGGCAUUAUUAAACAAUCAAAGAUGUACUGUUCUUUAAAUUACAUAAAACUUUAAUUAAAAUAAUUGUGAAGCAUUAAAUGUAAAGCAAAUAUAAGCAAUGUAUCAAAACAAUAAUCUAUAUAAAUAUACUGCUGUCUUAAAUAUGCAUGUGUUUCUUGUUCAAAAUUAAGAGUUGUAUCCACGCAUUAAAAUGAUGUUACUCCGUUGUUUUAUACAGUAACUCAAAAGUGUCGCAAAUUUGCUUCUUUUAUAUUUGUCUAUAAAUGCUCAUUCCUACUUUCUAAGCUCGUCGCAAUAUUUGUCGCAUUAGAUGUGAGUUCGCUGUUGUAAAUAAUAUCAAAGAUGAAUUAAAUAACACGAGAAAAUUAUUAUUUAUUUUUUAUAGAAAAAGUAAUUUACUAUUCUCUGGGAGCUAUACCUCCAAGAAUUUUCAGCGCCGAUCACAGCUUCAUUGUGCUACUGGUGCAGCAUGUGCAAUUUCGUAAGAAAUUGUUUUCUUCAAGCAAAAAAUUGUUGGUGCUGUUUGCAUCAAGAGUAUACACUAUUUAGGCUCUAAAGUGCCACAAUAUGUAGUGGAGUUAGAGGAGUGACUGUGGUGCUAAAAGCCGCGAUUGAAGAAGAAUUCAGAGCGGAUCACUCAUUCGUGUUCGCACUUAUCUUUCACAGUCCUGACGAAUCCGUAGAUACAAUGCUAUUUCAAGGAUGCAUCAAAACUAUUUAAAAAGUAAAGUUAGUUUUGUCAUAAGUGUCACAUAUAUUAAGUUAUACUAAUAAAAUGGCUUUGAAGUCAA